rnacentral:rRNA from 1 species
UACGUAGGGGGCAAGCGUUGUCCGGAAUCAUUGGGCGUAAAGCGCGUGUAGGCGGCUUGGUAAGUCUGCUCUGAAAGCCCGGGGCUCAACCCCGGGAGGCGGGUGGAUACUGUCAAGCUCGAGUCCGGAAGAGGAGUGUGGAAUUCCUGGUGUAGCGGUGAAAUGCGCAGAUAUCAGGAGGAACACCGGUGGCGAAGGCGGCGUUCUGGACUGCAACUGACACUGAGGAACGAAAGCCAGGGGAGCAAACGGG